ACCCGCUGAACUUAAGCAUAUCAAUAAGCGGAGGAAAAGAAACCAACAGGGAUUGCCCUAGUAACGGCGAGUGAAGCGGCAACAGCUCAAAUUUGAAAUCUGGCUCUUUCAGAGUCCGAGUUGUAAUUUGCAGAGGGCGCUUUGGAGUUGGCAGCGGUCCAAGUUCCUUGGAACAGGACGUCACAGAGGGUGAGAAUCCCGUACGUGGUCGCUAGUCUUCGCCGUGUAAAGCCCCUUCGACGAGUCGAGUUGUUUGGGAAUGCAGCUCUAAAUGGGAGGUACAUUUCUUCUAAAGCUAAAUACUGGCCAGAGACCGAUAGCGCACAAGUAGAGUGAUCGAAAGAUGAAAAGCACUUUGGAAAGAGAGUCAAACAGCACGUGAAAUUGUUGAAAGGGAAGCGCUUGCAGCCAGACUUGCCUGCAGUUGCUCAUCCGGGCUUUUGCCCGGUGCACUCUUCUAUAGGCAGGCCAGCAUCAGUUUGGGCGGUAGGAUAAAGGUCUCUGUCACGUACCUCUCUUCGGGGAGGCCUUAUAGGGGAGGCGACAUGCUACCAGCUCAGACUGAGGUCCGCGCAUCUGCUAGGAUGCUGGCGUAAUGGCUGU
rnacentral:rRNA from 1 species